CUUGCCGCGAUCUCCACCCACGUUGUUACACAUAUACUGCGUCAUGCGAGGCGGGCCCGCGAAACUGGGCUGCGAAACGCGUCGCCGAUAUGCUUGGCGUUGAAAACGGGAAGGAAUCUACCCAGCGAACACCAAGUAACAGUUAUAUUGUUCGUUAGAAUUUCCCGCCCGACAAUGUAAUUGUUAUUUAAUACGUAAUGUUAUAUAACAUGUAACAGUUAUAUUGUUGAGUGGGAAAUUAACUAACAGUUAUAUAACUGUUACUUGGUGUUGACUGGGUAGUUAUGUCAAGUUACCCCGCUUCUACUGCUCUUCGUUCUCCCAAGGAUCUGCCAGAAAGGAUACGCCAACGCGACCGCAUGAAUCCUCCGCAUGAGAUAUCGUUUACAACCACAGCGGGACGCUUUUAUUUUUCAAACUUGACGGCGAGAGCUAUUCCUUUUUUAUAUAUUGCGAGACAACUACAAUUUGUGACAUUCCUAGAAAUGUAAAGUUCCGUCUUCUUCGGAGCUAAAAGCAUUUACGGCGAUAAAUGGAAGAUAGGUACUUCCAUUUCCUGUCGCGUCAAAUUGUUUAUUCGGGCGGCUCGAAGAUUGGAUGCCUAUCAAUUUCCGGGAUGCACGAAAUUGCCUCAUAUGUUGGCACGUUUUUGGGAUAUCUACAUUUACUUGUUAAAGUGGCUUGCAUUACUUCCAAAAGGGAUUAAUUAAAAUAGUAAUGGAUCUUUGGGGAGUAAUAAACGCGAGUAUCAUGUGUCUGCGCAGAGAGCGAAAUUAACGCGAAGGACGGACGAAAACUAGCUCGUUUGCAAGUCGACGUCACACCGAUCUUCUCUUGGCGUGGCCGAAAGGAUCGAUAAGACGUGCUGUUAAUGAGCGACCUUUGGAUAUCAAGUUGCGAUCUAGUAGGAAUGUAUGGGCCGUCUGAGGAUUGAAGACGUCGCUGAUUCAAGCGUGUCAAGGUCGUGCGGGAAGACAACACGAUCGUGCUCGUUCAGAAUAUGCGGCAGGUGCCACAUGGCACGACCUGCACGCAUUUGCAUCCGUUUGUUUCGUCGACGCGAUCGCGAGGAGGAGACGACGUAGAACAGCUCCGAGGUCAGCUCAGAAUAUAUAUCUGAUUCGGCGAUGUUUGUUCGACUCAUUGGUUCACAUACGUCGACCUCCCCUGGGACGUCGUUCUUUCCCUGCGUGCUGAUAUUGACCGGCGGGAUCACACGCAGUUUACAAGAAGUGGUUUUUACGACGAGCGGUCUUUUCCAUUUAGAGAGCCCGUGAACCCGGGCAAUUUGACAGCAUAAAAGCGCAGGUAGCUGGCGUCGUAUCGAGAGGCGGUACACGAGAUUCUCUCAUCGUCAGUCGCAGGGUUAGCGACCGUGAAAGUACUCCCUUGCAAAAGUGGAACGGGCAUUUUUCAAAAUCAUUGCGAUUGCGCCCACAACCGACACACUUCGCGGCGGGUCGUUGCACCGGAGGUCGGUUUCCUUGUUCUUCUCACCUUCGGCCGUCCUCGGUGCGCCAACCAUAAAAGAAAGUGUUCCCUAAGUGCGUCGGUUAACGCGUUGCGCUAGUUAGCUCCUCUUGAUCUUCCUUUCGAUCCCGCCGCUUUUCUCUUUACCAGAAGAUGAAGACUCUCGACACGACGCUUCUGCGAGUCAUUCGAGGCAUUAUUAUGAUGACUCUUUCGAGUUUUCGACUAGCGGUAAAUUGUGAAUCAAUCGGGUCACAAAAAUUUCGAUUUGAUACUUUGAUUCGAUAUUUUUACAUUUGAAGUUGUUUUACAUUCAAUCAGAUACAUAACAUCAUUAAGAAUUCUUUUUCAAAGAUCUAUUAUUUUAUUUAUCUUUUGAAAAAAAUAGAAAUCUAAAAAACGAUUCCGUGUUUGCUGAAACA